rnacentral:lncRNA from 1 species
CAUCAUUCUAAAAUGCAUCAUUAUUUCAUAUAUCACCACCCCAGCUGUUAUAUCACCACCCCAGCUGUUAAGCUGCCAUAAUGCUUUAUUACAUCAUGUUUGUAAGAUACAUUUCAAUUUCAGAGAUGCAAAAAUAUGAAAAGUAUAUGUUAGAAUAAACAAAAUAUGCGUACUGUAACAUUUCCAGGAGUAUAAUAAUCUUAAACAGACGAUAUAAAUGGUUUGGCACUUUGACAGUUAAUACUUGUUAGGGCUAAAGAUGUAGCUCAGUGGUACAGUAUUUCUCUAGCAUGUACUGAAGCCCUGGGUUCAUUCUCUAGCACUGCAACAAAACAAAACAAUACUUGUCAACUUUGGCAAAAAAAAAAAAAGUAGCCUGGAUUAGGCUUUUAUCCAGGGGCAAUAUCUAUGAAUAUAGCUUUUGAUCCAGAUCUGGUUUCAAAAUUUGAACUUUUACAGAAUGUCAGUUAUCAAGAAUACAAGUAACAAUAAAUGUUGGCAAGGAUGUAGGGGGAAAGGCUCACUUAUACAUCGCUGGUGGGACUGAAAAUUGAUGCAACCAAUUUGGAAAGCAGUAUGGAGAUUCCUUAGAACACUUGGAAUGGAACUGCCAUUUGACCUAGCUAUCCCACUCUUCAGGUCCUACCCAAAAGGCUUAAAAUUAGCAUAUUACAGUGAUGCAGCCACUCAAUGUUUAUAGCAGCUCACUUAACAACAGCUAAACUAUGGAACCAACCUAGUUCCCUACAACAGAUGAAUGGAUAAAGGAAAUGUGGUAUAUAUACACAAUGAAAUAUUAUUCAGCCAUAAAAAAGAAUGAAAUUAUGGCAUUUGUCAGUAAAUGGAUGAAACUGGAGACUGUCAUACCAAGUGAAGUAAGCCAAUCCCCCAAACCAAAGGCUGAAUGUUCCCUGUGAUAUGUGGAUGUUAACCCACAACAAGGAAGGGUAAGGAGGGAAAAAAUAAAAUUUCAUUGGAUCAGACAAAGGGGAAUGAAGUUGGCAGAAGGAGUAUAGGAAUUGGAAAGACAGUAGAAUGAAUGUGACAUAACUUUCCCAUUCUUAUGUAUGAAUCUGCAACCAGUAUAAUUCCACAUCAUAUACAACUACAAGAAUGGGAUACUAUUUAGAAUAAGUUAUAUUCCAUGUAUGUGUAAUAUGUCAUAAUACACUCUAUAUCUAGAAAGAACAAAAAAAUUUUGGACUUAAAGAUUUCUGUAUGUUAUCCUUUUUGGACUUAUCUCUAUACUGGAUUCUUAUAAAGUCAAGUAUAAGUUUUUACAUUUGUAACUUAGGUAAUCUUAAAUAUUCCUUUCUGUAAAACCAGAUCUAAAAGAAGGAAAAGAUGGUUGGUAUCAGAGAAUUUUUAUAGAUCAGUCUUUUAAGAAAACCUAAGAUGGUUUAGGGCAGGGGUAUUAUAAAUGAAGAUCAAUUCAAACUGUUUAAUUUAGACCUGAAUCACUGUAGAAACUUGUUGUCUAUUGCAAAGUUUGCUGGUAGCUUCCUAUGAUUUGAGUUAGCACUUUUAAGUACUUGAAAUAUAUUUUUACCAUCUCCACACUACUCUGAGAUUGUUCUUUUAAUUCAUCUUGUAGCCAGGGAAACCAUAUGUUAAUGGCCCCUGAAGCUGGGAUUUGUACUAGGCUACUCAUUGAACUGAGGAAGAGUGGGAAUCCCUGAGCCCCUGACUUUCCUGGAUUCCACCUUCCCUUUUAUUGAGAUGAAAAGAGAUAGGAAAUGCUUUCUAGCCCAGAAAUACAAAGACUUGAAGACUCCAAAUCUGAAAUUGAGUCAACAAGUGAGGAGGAGUACUCACAGGGAUGGGGAGAGCAAUGGCAGUGCUCAAAAGGCCAGCCAAGAUGAGAAAUUUCAUUCUGAAGGUAGAGCCUGGAAUUGAAGAUUAGGAGAUCAUUUCCAGUUUCCGUUCCUAUUUCCAUUGUAAAUAGAGGGUUGAGGUAGAGGUGUUGAAAUAGGGUCAAGCUAAAUCCUGCCUCCAGAUACAGAUUCAGGUUGUGUAAACCCAGAGGAGCAUUUAAAAAACUUGGAAUGCCUUUCAACAAGACAUGCAGUCUUUGACUCCUAAUACUGCCUGCCAUCUCCUACUCUUCCUUAUAACCUACAGCUCAGCCUAUAUCUGUUUGGUUGUUCAAAUUUGUGGAUUCUAUACACAAAUAUUUAAUGAGCAUAAUGUUUACUAUUGGCAAUUUAUCAUCACUGGCUAAAACGAGAGGACAAUAUUUAUGUAAUACACAAAUAAAUAUGCUUGGAGCUUAUGCCUCCAGGAGACUUACCAGGCCUUUACAUAGUCUGGAUGCUGUUGUUGAUGCAUACAGUUUCUCAGGAAGAGAUUAUACAGGAAAAAAUUCAUAAAGUAUAGUGGGUUGGUAGAAAAUAAGUACAAGAUGAAUAAAUUUAAUAAAGCAACUCAACAUAAUCUUUACUGACCUGCUGUUCCUGCAAGUAAACAUUUAAAUGUUUUAAAAAUACACUUAAUUCAAAUUACCUUACUGUGUGAGUUUCAAACCAAAUCACUGUACCCUGGAGUUUGAUUUUGGAAGAAAAAAAAUCAAUCAUAUUCUGAUUAAUACUUCUGUCCUGUAUGUGAGACAAGUUAUAACUAUUUAUAGAUAAAUAAUUAUUUAGCUUUUUAUAUAUCUUUAAAGCUUAAUUCUAAGUUAUUUUGGUGCUACUUUACCUGAAUUUAGGCAACUUAUUUCCUUUCCUUUUUUUUUUUCAUGUCUUUGUAUUUUUCUUUCUCAUGGAUUAAAACUUUUGAAGUUCUUUCUUGCUUUGUUAAGUGGAUCUUAUUAAAUUAGCCAACACAAGAAUAUCUUACAUUCUUUUAUCUAGUGCAAUAGAAUCAUCCAAAUUAUAUCUCUUUAAUUACCUUUGCUUCAAAUGGCCCUCGGAGCAACAAAUUCAGGAGGCAGUGUGAUCUCCUAGAGCCUCUCUACCCAUCAAGUGUUUAAGCCAUAUUACUAAUGCCUUUAUAGUCAUGGGCAAUAUGAGUCACACAAUUCAAAGCUAAACUGAGCAGUUGGUUUCAGAUCGGGAAUUCCAACUUUAGUAUCUCAAUUACACAGAGACUUAAAGACUGAUUACUAAGAAAAUAACUUCAUCUCUUUGGUUGGGGUUAGAUUAAAUCUUUAUCAAAACAAACCAAUAAUUAAAAAUGAUAUCCACUAAGAAUAUUCAAGUGUUUCUAUAAUGUGUCAUUUAGGUAUACAUACGGAAGCCUUAAUUGCUGGAGAAAUUUAAGGUUUGAAAUGUUCUAUGUUAAAUGACAUUUGCAUUUCAAAAUGAAAAUUAAUUUCAAAUAAAAAAGUUUAGUAAAUAUUUAGGCAGUGUCCUUAGCAUUAAGACUAAUUCAAUUUAAUUAUUUGGAAAGGACCUGGUUUAAUGUGACUCUGGUUGAAAGCAAGUGACUUAUUGAGUGAAGAAAAAAGAUAAAAAUAAAGUUAACUUAGUGAUAUCUUUCAAGUCAGAUAGAAAAAUGUUUUUUAAAAACCCUCUUUUAAAUAUUGUAAGUGGAAUGAAGUGGAUGACAGGAUCUUUUAUUGUUGUGUUUCAGACCUUGGAAAACUGUAUGGUCUCAUUUAUAUUUUU